UUUAAACCGGACGACUUGGAAUUAGUCAAAAACAUCAAGUACAUCAAACGUCUUUCUCCCUUCCCGAGAAAUCGAUUCACGCAGUUUCCCGUCUUCCCUAAACAUCGAUCUUUCCCUUUCAAUUUACCCAAAAAUUACAGUAAAUCAAAAAAUUCUCUCCUUCUCUUCUUUCUCCUCCCUCUCAUCUACCCCAAACAAGAAACCUAAGCUCUAGCCGCAUCAGCCAUGGCCAUUGCCACUGCCAUCUCUGCAAGAUUCCCCCAAUUCUUGUAUCUUCCGAGCUGGUUACUUCAACACAUUAGCAAAAAUCAUGCCCCAUUUGGUGUUAAAACGGAAAGAAAUUCAAACCCACCUUUAAUGGCCUGAAAAAGCUGAUGAUAUGGGGGAAAAGAGAUCCGUUUCUCAAAUUUGAAUUUCAAAUCUUCUCAAUUCCCACUUUUUUUUUCUUGUUUCAAAUCCGGACUUUGAUGUACGGAUUUCGCCUAUAAAAAGAGGUGUCCUCAGUCCCUAAUGGACAACGAGGAAUCAUUCAAAAUCAGCCAAAAACAUUCAUGAUAAAAAAAAUAAGUGAAAUCGGCCAACUUUCAAACUUUUUGUCGUUCACUUGUUUGAGUUCGGUGGCCGGUGAUUCUUGGCGUCGAAGCUUCGAUUUGCUGCCCAACAAAAGGAUCGAGAUUUUGUUGGAAUUUUUUCUUCACUGAAGCCAUUUUCAUAAGGAAGAGAAACAAUAUGCUUCUUUCGGUUCCAGAAAGCAUUUGGAUGAUCAGCACAAAUAUCAAGAAUUAAUUGAUUAGAAAUUUUUUUUUUUUUCUUGGACUUUGACUGAUUUUAAAGUAUAAAAAAUAUUAAUACUCAUUAGUUCUAAUUGUAAAAAAUUAAUUUUCUUUUGUUUCAUACUGAUAAGGGUAUUUAUAUCCCUUGUUACAGGAUUAGUAACAACAGGAUAAGAGAUUUGUUUAUUUU